CUCUUUGGAUGAUAUUACAAGAGAUGCUGACUUUUUAGAUAAUCUAAUCUAAGUGAGUUUCUGUUCCAUGUUUUUAUUUAUACUAAUUUUUUAAAACUUCUUUCAGCAAUCCUUUUUCAAGCAGUUUUAUGGUUCUGUGACAGAAUCAGACUAUGUGACAUUAAGGCUCGGGUUCAUUAUGACUCACUGCAAGACAAACCCAAAGUUUGAUUUUCACAAGUAUAUGAUCCGUGCCCUUGAAGAUGAAUUCAAGAUAGUUGUUGGCAUAAGUUGGUAUCUUUGGCUCUUUGUGGUCAUCUUCUUGUUGUUAAAUAUCAAUGGACUCACAAAAAUCCCAUUAAAACAAAUACAGAAGCACAUUGAAAUCUGAUGCUGAUGCGGUUACGGUGCUAGAUGGAACACAGGAAGGUGCUUUUCAAUGGGGAAUUGAAGGAAAUGGGAGAAAAGGAUUAUGAAGCUUAUAAAAGAUAGCUCUUGUUUUAUAUUAAUUGUGCUAGGUUGGUUGUGUUUGUGUUGGUGCUAUUAAAUUUAAACUGGUUGUAUUAAUUUUGAGCAAACAUUUAUAUGCUCAAAAAACUUAGAUUUUAUAUGGUGCUUAGAUGUGUUUGAAUUUGGUUGUUUUAUGUUUCAACCGCUUGUAUU